GGCCUACGGGUCAAAGCAGCAAUGCGCCUUUAGAUGAGCCUGCGUCCCAUUAUUUAAUCCUAGUUGGCGGGGUAAUGGCCCACCAAGGGUACGAUGGGUAGCUGGUCUGAGAGGACGAUCAGCCACACUGGGACUGAGACACGGCCCAGACUCCUACGGGAGGCAGCAGUGGGGAAUAUUGCGCAAUGGGCGAAAGCCUGACGCAGCCAACCCGCGUGUGUGAUGAAGGCCUUCGGGUUGUAAAGCACUGUCGUGAGGGAAGAAGUUCUGACGGUACCUCACAAGAAAGCACCGGCUAACCCCGUGCCAGCAGCCGCGGUAAUACGGGGGGUGCAAGCGUUGCUCGGAAUCACUGGGCGUAAAGCGUCCGCAGGCGGGACGGUCAGUCGAAUGUGAAAGCCCGGGGCUCAACCCCGGAACUGCGUUCGAUACUGCCGUCCUCGAGUUCGGGAGAGGGGAGCGGAAUUCCUGGUGUAGAGGUGAAAUUCGUAGAUAUCAGGAGG
rnacentral:rRNA from 1 species